CGGAUCCGCGCUCCUCCUCCUCCUCCUCGACCGCGGGACCUCUCUUCAGGGCCUGUUCUCGGCAUGAGGGCGAAGUGGAGAAAGAAGCGUAUGCGCAGGCUUAAGCGCAAGAGACGAAAGAUGAGGCAGAGGUGCCGAUGAUCUAAUGUUUCAUUUUCUACUGCGGAAGGUGUUGUACUUCACGGACUUUGUUGAAUCCACAUGGACUCUGGAAUCUUCAUUUCAUUUCUCGUGCCUGGACCCAUUUCGUGAAGGCAUGUCAGAUACUUGCCAUCAGAAGAUCUGGAUAGACUUGGACUGUUCUUGUAUUGGACCUUUACAGUGGUUGUAAAAAAUAAAAUGUAAAAAUCA